UAUGCAAUGAUGAGACUAAACACCAAAUUGGUGAUUAGGGCAGUGGAAUUAGGGACACUUUUGUGUCUCUCCGUGAGUCCCUUAAUAAACGACUUCUCCUUCCACUGAGUAUA